CAUGGAGGGUGAGAAUCCCGUCCGGCUGACCUUCAGGACGUUUUACGAUACGCUCUCAAAGAGUCGAGUUGUUUGGGAUUGCAGCUUAAAAUGGGAGGUAAAUUUCUCCUAAGGCUAAAUAUUGGCGAGAGACCGAUAGCGAACAAGUACCGUGAGGGAAAGAUGAAAAGAACUUUGAAAAGAGAGUUAAACAGUACGUGAAAUUGUUGAAAGGGAAACGAUUAAAGUCAGUCGUACCUACGAGUGAUCAACCUACUCGAGUGCGAUUUUGUGGGUAUGUUAGAGCUUAAAAACCUUCAUGCUUACAAAUUGGUGCUCUUUGGGCGUACUUUCUCGUAUGGUAGGUUAACAUCAAUUUCGAUCGUUAUAAAAUGACUGGAGGAAUGUAGCUUCGAUCUCGGUUGAAGUGUUAUAGCCUUUGGUAGAUGUAAUGAUUGGGAUUGAGGAUUGCAACGGAUACCCUCUGGGCUAUUCGUCUGAUCUCUGGAAGUUACCUUGGUGUCGAAAGCGUGCUUACGAUAUUAAGGUUGACGGCCAAUAGGUUAGAACGUGAUUAAAUUCGUUAAGGAUGUUGACGUAAUGG
rnacentral:rRNA from 1 species